GAGCGGAUGACUGGAGCUUGCUCCUUGAUUCAGCGGCGGACGGGUGAGUAAUGCCUAGGAAUCUGCCUGGUAGUGGGGGACAACGUUUCGAAAGGAACGCUAAUACCGCAUACGUCCUACGGGAGAAAGCAGGGGACCUUUGGGCCUUGCGCUAUCAGAUGAGCCUAGGUCGGAUUAGCUAGUUGGUGGGGUAAUGGCUCACCAAGGCGACGAUCCGUAACUGGUCUGAGAGGAUGAUCAGUCACACUGGAACUGAGACACGGUCCAGACUCCUACGGGAGGCAGCAGUGGGGAAUAUUGGACAAUGGGCGAAAGCCUGAUCCAGCCAUGCCGCGUGUGUGAAGAAGGUCUUCGGAUUGUAAAGCACUUUAAGUUGGGAGGAAGGGCAGUAAGUUAAUACCUUGCUGUUUUGACGUUACCGACAGAAUAAGCACCGGCUAACUCUGUG
rnacentral:rRNA from 1 species